UACAGAGGUCUCAAGCGUUGUUCGGAUUCAUUGGGCGUAAAGGGUGUGUAGGUGGCGCCGUAAGUCGGGUGUGAAAUUUCGGAGCUUAACUCCGAAACUGCAUUCGAUACUGCCGUGCUUGAGGACUGGAGAGGAGACUGGAAUUUACGGUGUAGCGGUGAAAUGCGUAGAUAUCGGGAGGAACACCAGUAGCGAAGGCGGCACCCUGGGCCGGUACUGACGCUGAGGAGCGAAAGCGUGGGGAGCAAACAGG
rnacentral:rRNA from 1 species